GAGGGUAUAGCUCAGUGGUAGAGUGCAUGCCUUGCAUGCACAAGGUCCCAGGUUCAAGCCCCAGCACCUCCA
rnacentral:tRNA from 1 species